AGGAAAGGAAGAAAUAAAGAAGGAAGGAUAAGAAGGCACCGUAUAUGGAGAAAUUAUUAUUGUCACACCCCAAGCCUGCAGUGAGGUCAACUGUUGGAUCAAUAACAACUUUGCUCCAUCAGAUAAUGAAUCUAAAUGAGAAUUGCCACUGUUAAUCAGAAGGAGAAAUGGGAACAUAUAACUAUUUAUACUCAAGGAACUGACUCUAUUGUAUGGAAGAUGAUACUUGAGCAAGGAGACAGUUGGACAGCCAGAGUCUGAGAGGUGA